GAAAGCGGGUGUUGCAAGUGCUUGCGCUAGCCCUCGGGAACCGGACUUACUAAUGACCGGCCAGAGCCGUGCCCCGUGCAUGGCGCGAAGUCGGAAAGCCUAAUACGGCAGUGAUGGAGUGCAUGUGUGCUUUCUGAGGGUGGGACCUAUGCUGGAGUGCUGUGCGUGGCCUAUGAAGCAGAGGUGGGGGGGGGCGGGAGCGGUUUGCCAGUCGGAUUCAGUGAGGCAGCAGCAACGUGCAGGCGC
rnacentral:lncRNA from 1 species